UCCCCCUUCUACCCCUCCUCCGGCCUAGAGGCAGGUGUUGGGAAAUCAUGUUUAUUACUACAAUUUACAGACAAGAGGUUUCAGCCAGUGCAUGACCUUACUAUUGGUGUAGAAUUUGGUGCUCGAAUGAUAACGAUUGAUGGAAAACAGAUAAAGCUUCAGAUAUGGGAUACAGCAGGACAGGAGUCCUUCCGUUCCAUUACAAGGUCAUAUUACAGAGGUGCAGCAGGGGCUUUACUAGUGUAUGAUAUUACAAGGAGAGAUACAUUCAACCACUUGACAACUUGGUUAGAAGAUGCUCGCCAGCAUUCCAAUUCCAACAUGGUCAUUAUGCUAAUUGGGAAUAAAAGUGAUUUAGAAUCUAGAAGAGAAGUUAAAAAAGAAGAAGGUGAAGCUUUUGCCAGAGAACAUGGACUUAUCUUUAUGGAAACUUCUGCUAAGACUGCUUCCAAUGUAGAAGAGGCAUUUAUUAAUACAGCAAAAGAAAUUUAUGAAAAAAUCCAAGAAGGAGUUUUUGACAUUAAUAAUGAGGCAAAUGGCAUUAAAAUCGGCCCUCAGCAUGCCGCUACUAAUGCAACACACUCUGGCAGUCAGGGAGGACAACAAGCUGGUGGAGGCUGCUGUUGAGCCUAUUUUUGCUUUCUA